GUGGGGAAUAUUGGACAAUGGGCGCAAGCCUGAUCCAGUCAUGCCGCGUGAGUGAUGAAGGCCUUAGGGUUGUAAAGCUCUUUCAGUGGGGACGAUAAUGACGGUACCCACAGAAGAAGCCCCGGCUAACUUCGUGCCAGCAGCCGCGGUAAUACGAAGGGGGCUAGCGUUGUUCGGAUUUACUGGGCGUAAAGCGCACGUAGGCGGAUCGUUAAGUCGGGGGUGAAAUCCUGGAGCUCAACUCCAGAACUGCCUUCGAUACUGGCGAUCUUGAGUCCGGAAGAGGUGAGUGGAACUCCUAGUGUAGAGGUGGAAUUCGUAGAUAUUAGGAAGAACACCAGUGGCGAAGGCGACUCACUGGUCCGGUACUGACGCUGAGGUGCGAAAGCGUGGGGAGCAAACAGGAUUAGAAACCCGAGUAGUCC
rnacentral:rRNA from 1 species